rnacentral:lncRNA from 1 species
UCUAAUAUUCAAAUCCAACCACCUCUAUCAAAAUCUGAUUAAACCGAACAUUCUAAACUCAUUCACCAUUUAGUUAGAUAUUAAUAGAUAUACCUCUAUGUUGUUGAUAAGUGCUUCUGUCACAUCAUGGAUCUCUCAGGAAACAUGCUUGGCUUUUCUAAUCAAUAAAUUUGAAAAGAGUCCUAUAAGAUGGAAGAGGAUAUCCUUUUCUUUAGUUGGAUAUCUCACAGUGGUUAUCUUUGUACACUUUGCUUUGCUCGCCUAUUAGAUUUUUCUCUUCUCAAUCCUUGAUGGAUCAUUAGGAAAAUAGAUCUAAUCAAAAGAAGCUCCUUUUGAAGAGGUUUUUGAUGGCACAAAUUAGGGUUUCUGGCUCUUCAGAUUUGUCUCUUAUAUUUCAGUAUUGAGAACAUAUCACUUAUUAACUCACUUUUCUAGCCAAGCAAUGGUCGAAAUCAAAAACUUUGCCGAAUUUGAUAAAGUUUGUGCAAUUUAUCAUCAUUUUUUGUUAAUCUAGAAGAAGAGGAUUAAGUAGUAGUGAUUACCAUCAUGUUAGAAGAUCUUCCUUCUUUAAGAAAGGAGUUCUCAUAGUGAAGUCUUUAUUUUUAGUGGAAUUAGAUUUGACAUGAGAAAUUGUAGCAUUAUCAAUUCCUAAGAGAUAUCUAAAUGAGAAAACCUUUCCAUAAUCUAUUGAAUCUCCAUUUCUUUGCACCGGGAGCUACAAAAGCGACAUUUCUAGCUAAUUUGCUAGUGAUUCUUGCUUGGCUCACUCAGUUCCUCCAUCCUUUAAACAAUGAUCAUCAUGCUGAUUUAGUUCAACUACAUUCUUCCUCUUACUCCUAUUCUAUCUAUUCCUUUUAUUGGUUAUAUUCUCCUGGUUCUAUGCUCUCUUGUUUUGUUAAAAGUAUGUGAAAAUGAUUUACCUCAAAAGGAAAAAAAAAAAGACUUUCUCUUAUCACAAGAAGAAAAGGUCUUCAUGCAGCUAGCCAUCAACAACAAAAUCUUCAUAGUAGACAAUGUCAUUAAAAGGAACUAGAAUGUCCUCUUGGCUUGCCCCUUACUUCUGCAGCUAGAGGAAACUAUAGAUCACUUAUUCCUUGUUUAUCCCUUCCUUUUGCCAUUCCUUAUUCCUGACUUCUCAUUUAAAGUAUGAGCAUUCUAGAGACAGCAGCUGAUCUGGAGGAAUUCAAGAACUUGUUGGGCUUUGUGGUAAAAAAUUACUUCUUGGUGUAUAUGAAUGGAAAACAAAUUGAAAGUUUUCUCCUAUAAGAUUAGAAUCAUAACUUUCAAGUAUUCAAGUUCAUCAAGUUACUUAUUAUUGACUAGUCCAAAUUUGCCCUCAAUGAGAUUUCCCUAACCUCUAUGUUCACUUAAUAUUGUAUUUUGGCUUUCUUUUUACCUUCUGAUUUUUAUUCACCUCUACCCUUUUUCCUUUUUCUUUUUUUAAUGUUUCUUUAUCCUGGGCCUGUUUAAAACUACUUACAGUCCCAUAGUAAAAAUGAUUUCAUAUUUUCUCAAACCUUCACUGAAGAAAUAAAAGGGGAUCACAUGAGCCCAUUACUCAUUAUAAGAGAACCAUUUGUAAG